rnacentral:rRNA from 1 species
UUCGCGAGGCGCUACCGCAGUCGACGGUAACGGAAGCAGCUUGCUGCUUCGCUGACGAGUGGCGGACGGGUGAGUAAUGUCUGGGAAACUGCCUGAUGGAGGGGGAUAACUACUGGAAACGGUAGCUAAUACCGCAUAACGUCGCAAGACCAAAGAGGGGGACCUUCGGGCCUCUUGCCAUCGGAUGUGCCCAGAUGGGAUUAGCUAGUAGGUGGGGUAACGGCUCACCUAGGCGACGAUCCCUAGCUGGUCUGAGAGGAUGACCAGCCACACUGGAACUGAGACACGGUCCAGACUCCUACGGGAGGCAGCAGUGGGGAAUAUUGCACAAUGGGCGCAAGCCUGAUGCAGCCAUGCCGCGUGUAUGAAGAAGGCCUUCGGGUUGUAAAGUACUUUCAGCGGGGAGGAAGGCGAUGAGGUUAAUAACCUUGUCUAUUGACGUUACCCGCAGAACAACCACCGGCUAACUCCGUGACAAAAAAAAAAANAAUAA